GGAGAUGCAAUGUCAAUUUUUUAGUACCAACCUGUUUGUCAAAUCUAAUUAACUAAAAGUGCUGCCCGGCCGGUGCUUAAGCUGCUCCAGACAGCCCUGCAUCACCCUAAUCAAUUUCUCCUUCAGAGUCAAUUUGGAUCAGUUGGUGCUGACAGGGGGAGGAAAACCCUCCGUACGGAGUCAGCAGGGAUCUGGCAGCUUUCCAGUCAGGACCGUGGAUGAAAUUCUGCAGGCAGGAGGAAACUCCACUCCAGGACUGAAUCCUGGAAUGACAGUUUCGCAGGUCCAGCUGGUGUUGCAGACUCUCCACCUCCUCUUUAGAGCGACUAACUUCGGCUUCGUACAGAGCUAACGUGACGGUUCUCUCCACCUCUCCGAGGAUCUCCUCUGCUGCGGAGAACAGCCGCUGAUGAACGAACGACCUCAGCUGGAUCAUGCCGGAGUCCAUCAUGGCUCAAAAAGCAUCAACGACAGUAUCCGGAUAGGAGAUGAACUCAGCUAACAGCUAGCAGCUAGCUCAAACCGUUAGCAUAGCUUGGUGGUCCGCUAACUGCCACUGAGUGACUUCCGGUUUCAAACCUUCAGAAUAAAAGCGUCAAAAUGGAAA